AGGAUGAACGCUGGCGGCGUGCCUAAUACAUGCAAGUCGAGCGAAUGGAUUAAGAGCUUGCUCUUAUGAAGUUAGCGGCGGACGGGUGAGUAACACGUGGGUAACCUGCCCAUAAGACUGGGAUAACUCCGGGAAACCGGGGCUAAUACCGGAUAACAUUUUGAACCGCAUGGUUCGAAAUUGAAAGGCGGCUUCGGCUGUCACUUAUGGAUGGACCCGCGUCGCAUUAGCUAGUUGGUGAGGUAACGGCUCACCAAGGCAACGAUGCGUAGCCGACCUGAGAGGGUGAUCGGCCACACUGGGACUGAGACACGGCCCAGACUCCUACGGGAGGCAGCAGUAGGGAAUCUUCCGCAAUGGACGAAAGUCUGACGGAGCAACGCCGCGUGAGUGAUGAAGGCUUUCGGGUCGUAAAACUCUGUUGUUAGGGAAGAACAAGUGCUAGUUGAAUAAGCUGGCACCUUGACGGUACCUAACCAGAAAGCCACGGCUAACUACGUGCCAGCAGCCGCGGUAAUACGUAGGUGGCAAGCGUUAUCCGGAAUUAUUGGGCGUAAAGCGCGCGCAGGUGGUUUCUUAAGUCUGAUGUGAAAGCCCACGGCUCAACCGUGGAGGGUCAUUGGAAACUGGGAGACUUGAGUGCAGAAGAGGAAAGUGGAAUUCCAUGUGUAGCGGUGAAAUGCGUAGAGAUAUGGAGGAACACCCCAGUGGCGAAAGGCGACUUUCUGGUCUGUAAC
rnacentral:rRNA from 1 species